UGAGGAAUAUUGGUCAAUGGGGGCAACCCUGAGCCAGCCAAGUCGCGUGAAGGAUGAAGGUCUUAUGGAUUGUAAACUUCUUUUAUACAGGAAUAAAUUGGGGGACGUGUCCCCUUUUGCAUGUACUGUAUGAAUAAGGAUCGGCUAACUCCGUGCCAGCAGCCGCGGUAAUACGGAGGAUCCGAGCGUUAUCCGGAUUUAUUGGGUUUAAAGGGUGCGCAGGCGGGAUGUUAAGUCGGCGGUGAAAUUUUGCAGCUCAACUGUAAAAGUGCCUUCGAUACUGGCUUCCUUGAGUGUAGAUGAAGUAGGCGGAAUUUGUGGUGUAGCGGUGAAAUGCUUAGAUAUCACGAGGAACUCCGAUUGCGCAGGCAGCUUACUAAACUACAACUGACGCUCAUGCACGAAGGCGUGGGGAUCAAACA
rnacentral:rRNA from 1 species